UUGCAACUUUUGGCCCAAAGGUUUGAAUAAUUAAAUUUAAACCUAUAGUUUUUUUUAAUAUAAUUUUGGGACUCACAAUCCCAUUUUUAUAUUAUUUUCUCUCUUCCUCUCACGUUGCUCGGCGUUUUCUCGCAAGGGGGGAUUAUUUUCUUUUUCUUCAGAUUAUAUUGACAAAGAUAGUGGUGAAAAAGGAGUUGUGAAGGGGAACUUGUUAUUCAAGACACAAGGAGCGAGUCCGGCCGAGAAAGCACCAGAGGUGUAACUAUGGUGUAUGAGACACCAUCUUUUACGUUGCCUCUUAUUUUUAUUAUACAAUGUAUCUUGUGCCAACUUAGGACAUAUCUUCUUUGUGAAGCAU